rnacentral:tRNA from 1 species
GCCUGGGUGGCUCAGUUGGUUAAAGUAUCCGACUUCAGCUCAAGUCAUGAUCUCACAGCUUGUGGGUUCGAGUCCCACAUCGGGCU